rnacentral:rRNA from 1 species
GAUCCUGGCUCAGGAUGAACGCUGGCGGCGUGCCUAACACAUGCAAGUCGAACGAAGCAAUUAAAAUGAAGUUUCGGAUGGAUUUUAAUUGACUGAGUGGCGGACGGGUGAGUAACGCGUGGAUAACCUGCCUCACACUGGGGGAUAACAGUUAGAAAUGACUGCUAAUACCGCAUAAGCGCACAGUGCCGCAUGGUACGGUGUGAAAAAACUCCGGUGGUGUGAGAUGGAUCCGCGUCUGAUUAGCCAGUUGGCGGGGUAACGGCCCACCAAAGCGACGAUCAGUAGCCGACCUGAGAGGGUGACCGGCCACAUUGGGACUGAGACACGGCCCAAACUCCUACGGGAGGCAGCAGUGGGGAAUAUUGCACAAUGGGCGAAAGCCUGAUGCCAGCGACGCCGCGUGAGUGAAGAAGUAUUUCGGUAUGUAAAGCUCUAUCAGCAGGGAAGAAAAUGACGGUACCUGACUAAGAAGCCCCGGCUAACUACGUGCCAGCCGCUGC